GUGUGUGCGAGCGGGAGCGAGGGGCGCCGGCUGGGGUGUGUGCGCCUGAGCUCUUCAGAACCCAGGCUGCUUUCAGGAACAUUACUGUGGAUUCCCAGGGCCUAUUCCACUAGAAGCAAGAUGGCUGAACUCAAUACUCAUGUGAAUAUCAAGGAAAAGGUAAGAUCAAGUUAUAUGUUGGCUCACAGAAACUCCAAACUAGGUAAUGCAGUCCCUAGCAGGUAAAAACUCAAUUACAAUGGAGAAAGGGAAAAUGGUUUUGGGGGAUACGUUGUAAGUUUGCCACAACAGUAAACUGUUCAGCAGAAAGAAUCAUAAGUAACGUUUACUGAAAGCAUGUUAAACAUAUGACACUCAUUUUUUCAUUUACUCUUGACCAUAACCCCAUAAAGAAGAUACUGUUGUUAUUUCCAUUUUACAGAGGUGGAGGUUGAGAAACAGAGAGGUAAUUUGGCUAAGUUCAUGUAGCUGGUAAACAGCAGAGCUGGGAUUUGAACCCAUGCAGUGUGCCAUUCCACAGUUCAUACUCUUCACCCCUAGGCUAGGUUACAUCUAAGAGCAAGGGUAUUAUAUUACCUCUUCAGAAAUGGACUCAGAGAGAGACAUCCAGUGUAUCACCUGGUGAUCAUGCUGGGCAGCCUUUGAAGUUUCUUUCAACGCUGAGAGUUCAUGACUGUGAAAAUCCCCACUUCUCAUGAUUUGUUGGAGACUGAUUCCACUUCGGAGCUCUUUCCAAGUCUAUGCUGCAUCCUGCACUGAGGGUCAGAAUCCCUCACUUGCCAUAUAUGCUGCCUUGUAAUGUUAGCUCUUAAGGAUCAUAAACCAUAGACCAUGAAGAUAAAUUUGUCCAACCCAUUUGUCUGACACCAUAGGAACUGAGGCCCUAGCACUGGUUUGCCAGUGGUUGUAUACGUAAGUGGGAGAGCCUGGACAGGAGCCCAAGCCAUUACAGUGCUGGUGCACCUUCCACAGCAUCACCCCACAGCCUUCUCUGAACUGUAAACCAUGUGAGGGCAGGAGUUUGUCUUUCAUCUCUUUGUAUCUUCACCAUACCAAAAAUACAGAGUGAAGGAUGAAAGAAGUGACAUUUGUGAAGCCAUUACUAUUUUUUCUUUCACUUAGCAAUGGGGUAAUAGACUCAAACACCACUCUAGAUGCCUGGGGUAUGGCCCUGAACAUGUAGAUGAAGUUCCUGCUCGCAUGGAGCUCACAUUUUAGGGCAGGGAAGCAGAGAAUAAACACAAGAAUAUCUAAAUGAACACAAUUGUUUCAGGCGGUGAUAACAACUGUGGAGAAAACAGCAGGGCAGUGUGAUGAGGGGGAGGCAAGGGGAGGUGGCUGCUCUAUGUGGGGUGGUCAGGGAAGCCCUUUGGAGGAGGUGACAUUUGAUUGAGAUAAACAUGGGGAAAGAAACAACCGUACAAAGAUCUGAGGACAGAGAAUUCCAGACGGAGAGAAAAGCAAAGCAGAUGCCUAAGGUUGACUAAGUUGAAUGUGUUUGAUGAGCAAGUGGUCAGUGUGUUCCAGGUGUGGUAGACAAAGGUGAUUGAUGAUGGGAGAUGAAGUCCAGGAAUACCACUUAGAAUGCUGGCUCUCUAUCCAGGUCCAUGGAUCUCCAAGGGAUCGUAGUUAGAAUCCAUGGGUCCAUGAAUGUAGAUGAGAACAAAUACAUUUUUAUCUUCACUAACAUCUAAAUGAAAUUUACCGUUUCCUCCAGUCAUGCAUGUAGGCAAAGGA
rnacentral:sRNA from 1 species